UUGACAUUUUACUGUCUGUGCACUUAUUGCCGAUCAGGUUUCUGUUGUGGAAUUUGAUCUUUCCCAAAAGUGCUACAUUAAAAUCAUGGAAUCUUGGCAGGAAGACUUUUCAUAGUUUUUUCUGUCUCUCUCUGUUCAUGGACAAAGCCAUUUGUUUUCACUUGUUAUUUUAAAUAAUUAUAAUACCAAGAGCAGAGUAGAAAUACAUGUAUUCUGGUUGUUUGUUUCAUAGAUAAGUGAAAUAGGUUGAGGUCCAGAUCAGUAAUCUGUAGACCAUCGACCGGUAGUUGUACCUUGGAGCACAGUGAUCCUUCUUGAUUGUCAGUGUUGAUUGACAGAUUGUUUUCCAUAACUUACAGUACACAGUUUUAGCCUUUUUGGUUCUUAAGACUAGAUUAUGUUUCAGUCAUUCAAAGUCCCUUGUGUUGUGUGAGAAUGCUAUGCUAUAUGAAUUAUUGAGAUUGUAAAGUCAGUUACAAGAGUAGUGUGUGUUCAAAACAAGACAGUAUAUUUAAAUAUAUCAUUUUGUACAGACUUCUAA